AUUGAACGCUGGCGGCAUGCCUUACACAUGCAAGUCGAACGGCAGCACGGGUGCUUGCACCUGGUGGCGAGUGGCGAACGGGUGAGUAAUACAUCGGAACAUGUCCUGUAGUGGGGGAUAGCCCGGCGAAAGCCGGAUUAAUACCGCAUACGAUCCACGGAUGAAAGCGGGGGACCUUCGGGCCUCGCGCUAUAGGGUUGGCCGAUGGCUGAUUAGCUAGUUGGUGGGGUAAAGGCCUACCAAGGCGACGAUCAGUAGCUGGUCUGAGAGGACGACCAGCCACACUGGGACUGAGACACGGCCCAGACUCCUACGGGAGGCAGCAGUGGGGAAUUUUGGACAAUGGGCGAAAGCCUGAUCCAGCAAUGCCGCGUGUGUGAAGAAGGCCUUCGGGUUGUAAAGCACUUUUGUCCGGAAAGAAAUCCUUGACUCCAAUACAGUCGGGGGAUGACGGUACCGGAAGAAUAAGCACCGGCUAACUACGUG
rnacentral:rRNA from 1 species